CCUAUUUGCUCUGCACAGUGACUAUUAUGAACACAGAAAACUGUUCAUUGUUAAAUAUGGCAUGCUAAGUGGUUUUGCUUUCUGGCAAAUCUCCAAACCAUAAUUAUUAAGGGACUGGAGCUGCUGAGGAAUUCUUGGGUUACAAGAGGCUUUGAUCCUGUUCCUGCCUUCUUUCCCUGACAUGAAUUUCCACGGGUGUGGCUGACUUUCAUUGUUUUUCACUGCUGUGGUGCUGCUGUGAAGGUGAAGGAUUAAACAGAACUUCAAGAUGCCAAAUCUAUACCCCGACUAAAACACCAGCUGUUUCAUGCUUGAAACCCCAGAAAAUACUUCAGAAAGUCCAUUUCAAGAUACACCCCAAGCUGACAGCCCUGGUUGUACUCCAGUAACUUCAGUACUUCAGCUGGAGGUGAGGAAGCAGGAGAGGGGGAAAGGAACAAGGGAAGAGGAGGCAGAGAGGGAGAAGACAAGUUGCCGUCAAGGCCAAUUCUUUGUUUUUGAUUCCCACCUGCUGUUCUCUGCCUCUGCUCCUGUAGAUCAGCCUCACAAGAAAUUCACUUCUGACAAACCCAAUUACUGAAAUACAGCAACGAUUUCCUGGCCAUUUUGACAUUCAGGGAGGGAUUUCUUACUUUUAGCUCAUCAUGAUGCAUCAGUGAACAGGUCAGAGCACAUCUCUUGAAUCCCAUUCUCCUCCUAACGCUCAUACAGACAUUCACAUCCAAACUGGGGCUGUGUACUCUUUACAAACAGACACUCUGAAAGGUGCACAGAUUCCCAACAUGCCAUUCUAUCUC
rnacentral:lncRNA from 1 species